GUUGAAUCAUCCUAUUAUCCGGGUCAAACUCCCAUAUGUUAUCAUAGUCCAUUUCCUGGUCAUCUGGAUCCACUGGCUGAAGAGAGGCUCUGAAUGUCUUACAGGAUCUCCCACUUGUGAGCUUUAAAUCACCCUCUGUGGUAAUUCUGUCCUUUCGCUGGUCUUUCCUUCAUGUGCCACCUGCAGUGCUGUCAUUUAAAAUACCCUGGGCCUGAGCCAUAUUACACACACAAACAUACACACACAUGCCCCUUCAUCUGCACUCUUGUUUCCACUGCCAUGUCCUGCCUGGGCAACCACACACCCCAUCAAACCCUGUGUGUGUGUGUGUGUGUGUGUGUGUGUGUGUGUGUGCGCUGGAGAAGGUCAUU